rnacentral:sRNA from 1 species
UUUUAGCCCUGAUGGUCGAAUUGCUAGCGCAAUUACCUUUUCAGGCUUUUUUAAGCCGGAAAAGAUAAUUGCGUACAGCAGGAAAUAGC